rnacentral:rRNA from 1 species
CACGUAGGGGCCAAGCGUUGUCCGGAUUUAUUGGGCGUAAAGAGCUCGUAGGCGGUUCGACAAGUCGGGUGUGAAAACUCCGGGCUCAACCCGGAGACGCCACCCGAUACUGUCGUGACUGGAGUCCGGUAGGGGAGUGGGGAAUUCAUGGUGUAGCAGUGAAAUGCGUAGAGAUCAUGAGGAAGACCAGUGGCGAAGGCGGGUCUCUGGACAGUUCCUGACACUGAGGCACGAAGGCCAGGGGAGCAAACGGG